CUUAAUAUUGUUUUAAGGAAAACUUCAAGAGGUAGGACCAGUUUACUUCAUCCAAGCUAUGUAAUAAACACUUCUUUUGUUGAUGUUUUGUGGCGGUAAAUACUUUAUUUCUUCUGUGAUACCUCUAUGGGUGAUUAAUCUUUAUAUCAAUGUGCUUAUGAAUUUACAGAUCCGUUUGUCUGUAAGUCCCCUGGAAGAUGACAACCCGUGUGCUCACAUUUAUGUUCUUUCUCUUGCAGUUUACUGGAGAUUCAUCUGCCCAGAGUGCUAAAGAUUGACUGUUGGGAGUAACCUAACAAUAAGAGAGUACCAGGCAGUGUAUUUGAUGAGAUUGAGACUUUCUUCCUGAGCAAAUAGCAUCUCAUCUGUCUUCUGAGCAAUUUCAGUAUGGAGGGUGCUGUGUUAUUAGCAGCCAAAGUAGGCCACGAAGCAAGGCUCGAUCUGUCACUGUUUCCACAACAAAAAGAAAUCGAAGAUAUUUCUCCAGUAGGACUUCCUUCUCCUGUGUGCUCUUGCUAAUUGGCAUUUAUGCCAGAGUAAAGUUUGCAAUGCCUGUUUGAAAAUUUUGCCAAAAGGUCACAGAGUCGUUGCUAUUCCACUCAAUACCUUAAACAUCAGAUUUUGAAAUGUAAGAAGUGUGGGACCUCGAGAGGCCAAGGAAUCAGCUGCUCCUGUCCGUGAGAGCAUUCCUCUUCAG